rnacentral:tRNA from 1 species
GUCAGGAUGGCCGAGCGGUCUAAGGCGCCAGACUCAAGGUUCGUUACCUUCUCGGUUCAAGACCGAGCAUGGGCGUUCUGGUCCUCUCUGAGGGCGUGGGUUCGAAUCCCACUUCUGACA